AGCCAUGAGACGAAGAUGCCAAGGAGGAGAUGACACGUCCCACAUGGAUCAAUGUACUGAGGGAGCAUGAGGGGGAAGAGGAGGCAGACUGUUUUCCUCCUCUGGGAUUAGAGCGACUGACUGCUGAAGGACACUCAGCCUCUACCUGCAUGGAUCUGCUGGAUUAUUACCUGAGUGACACCUGAGCAGGCUGCACGGGAAUUUCCCCGGUUCGAAACCUUGGAAUACAUUCCUGCAAUCUCAAACUAACUUGUUAACUGAAACAAAGAAUUCAUUUGGGCGGUUACCUGAUGUUUCCUGUGGCACUGCGCACACUGGGCUCGCGGAAAGAAGACAGCGCAGCUCCAGACAGACAGCGGGGCUACACGGCGGACAUAGCGAGCCGGCUGCCGGAUAGAAACAGCGCGGACUACCGGGGAUGGGGGAACUUGCGGAGGGCGCCGUUUUGAGAUUUCGCGGCCGGCGUUGGGAGCUCUGUGCCGGGCACGAGUAGGCUUCCUCACCGGGGGAAGCGCGAGGGAGUUAUGGAGGAGGUUGAGAGGAACGGCAUCUUGUUUAAUGUCUGCCAAUCAAGACGAGAGGAGGACAACUCCCAAACUGGCAUGACAUAACAGGAGAGUGAAGACAGGAUCAAGAGACCAGGACAAUUUAUGAACCCGAUGGCAUAUGGGAACUGGUGCAUGGCAGCAGGGGUGAACAGAACCUCAGAACAUUACUUAAGUACAAUUUUAAGAGGAGCCACGGCUGCUGUAAUCUCCACUGUUCAAUUAGCUGCAGUGACCGGGACGCCACCUACACUUCAUUACCAGGGAGGGGAAGGUGUCACAUGCAGCCAGCAGGAGAGUAAAGAGUAGCAGUAACGAGACGAGAGUAAAAGAGCUCGCUGUCAGAAGUGAGAGCCAUUUCUAGGUGAAGCAUACUGAAUUAAAGUGAAUCAAGCUGAACUGAUCUGAACUGGAAUGGCCUGAGCUGAACUGAAAGGAAAGCUUCAGCCUGACAGGACUCUGGGGAAAAAAAGGUUCAGGCCGAAAAAACCUUGAAAUGAUACAGAUUAAACCCUUCUGUCAUUGAUGCCUGUUGUUUCCUGGGGGGUUCCUUGAUAUAUUUAUACUGCUGUUCACUCUUAUGUUAUGUUAUAGGACAUGAAAUAAACCAAAAAUAAGUUUGACUCAUUGAGAUCUUUUUUAUUUGAGUACCAUUUAUCACAGAAUAUGAAUUUACAUUAAAGUUGUCACUCUCUUCUCAGAGAGUUUGUUUUUGUUGUCUAAAUAACUCAUGGAGGGAUCAUAAUGGAAUACAAAUCUUAAAAGGGUUACUCACACCAAAACUAAAAACACAUAUGUUUCCUCAUACCUGUAGUGCUUUUUAUGAAUCUAAAUUGUUUUGGUGUGAGGUGCAGAGAUUUGGAGGUAUCUUUUCCUCUUCAAUAUAAUGAAAUGACCUGAACUGGAAUGCCUCUUCCCAGAAAUCAUGAGCAGUGAUCCACAGACUUCGUUGUAAGCAGUUUCAUGUAGGAACUAUUUUCUCUCUACAACAUCAGCAACAAUAUCAAUGCAAAGAAGGCAGAGUGCAUUACAUGGACGAGAAACUGUCCGGCGCUGGUUACAUCUCAGCUGAAGAAGACGCCAUCUUGUUUACAUUUUGCCCUCUUUCUCUGCUCCAGAAAUACUGUUUCUGUUCCAACUUUAUGUUGUUAGAAGUUUGGGGAAAUCAAGCACUUCCUCGCUUCAUCUUCUUAAUGUAGCUUUUGUCUGUGAUGAUCAGUUAGAUGGUUGGUUUUUUCAACAUCUUUGAGGAUGUUGACAUAUGUCAACCAGAAUGUAGGUAUUAUAAUAUUGAUAUGUAAACCUGCUUGAAGUGUUUCCAAUCAUUGGAACCUGUAUUUGUAUAAUAAUAUGCCAUUUUGUAUUGUAAAAAACCAGUAUGAUAAUGUACAGAUAUGUAUCACCUCAAUCUGGAACUUCGCCAAAGUGAGUGGCCAAAAAAAAUAAAUAAAUAGAUGUUAUUGCAUAUUUUGUUUGAAUAUCGUUAAUAUAAAAAUGAUACUUACUGUAAGUCUAUGUCACACAGUGGGAUUUCUAACACAAGUGUUUUGAAUAGCUGUUUCUGAGGUUACUGAAGUUGUGUGUGUGUCUAAAGUCCAUAGCUACAUUAAAGGGGACCUAUUAUGCAAA